AUUGCCUUUCAAGUCCACUAUUUAGCUCUUACUAAUGGUGUCUUGAGGGGGAACAAAGGAAAUUUUCUGAACACAGAAUCAGGGGAUGUCUUUGCAAGGUUGUUAGGGGUAAUAGGAAUUUAGGGCAUAAGCAACAGGCGUAAUUCUUAUUUCAUUAACGAUGACAUAAAUCAGGUGUGUAUGCACUGAAUAGGAGAAUGAAGUUAAGCCAGUGCAGGUGGGGAGAGAAGCCUGUCAGGACUCUCACUCCAACACAGGACAGCAGCCUUCAGGGGCAGCACCUCUGUCCUGUCUCAGUGGAAGGUGAUGGAAAUAAAUCUUUGUUCUGCCUUAGAAAAUGCUGGGACAAGUGCACAGCUGAGUCAGAGCGAGUGAGUGCCAGUCCAUGUGCUCCUCUCAUCCUGCAGAAGUGCAGUAACCCUGACAGUGCGGUCAGGGCUUUAGCAUUAAGUCAAUAAAAAUGAUUGAGGGUCAACUCCUUAUUUACAGCCUGGAGUGGCAUUUUAUGGAAGCAUUAAAUUGGAUAUAAAUGUAAUGCAAUUUGCCAGAGUUAGGUAAAGGUCUCUAAUGUGAACGAGCACCAAGACCUUGAUUUUACAGCGCUGGGCACAUUUCCAUUUGACACGUUACAUACAGAAGCUGUUUAUCUGUAGGAACUAAGGGCGGUCACGUUCAUUUGCUGAAAAAUCAUAAGCAGCACAGCAGGGCUGGAAAGCUGAAGCAUGGCUGGAGGGAUGGCCUCGCAGUACAGGAGGCAGGACAGCCUUCUUCUGACCAGUUGUGAGAGCGGCUGGGCUGGUUACAGAAACCUCCAUCAGCAGAGACAUCUGGGUGAUAAGGAGCUCUGUAAGUUAUUGGGAAAUGCUAUCAUAAGAUCCACAGGCAGCUGGAUAAAGCCACACAAAAUCAAGUGGGAAAUGAAGCAUGUCUGACAUUGUGAAGCCGACUGGUCCUUGCAGUGUUAUUUCUGGUUUUCAAAUCAAUCCUGUGCACCUGGCAGGGCAACAGUGCACAUUUAGGGGGCUCAGGAAGAGACACUGAGUAAAUCUAAGGGAUUGUACUGAACAAGGAUGGGACGUGAUGGUCCAGCAUUCCCCUCCUGGCAGAGGGGGCCCACGGCAGAGCUCUUGCCCUCACUGCCUAUUGUGCCAGCACUUGAUGAAGAUCUUCAGCCUGUCGGCAGAGGAGUAGCCCUGCUGGGCACACCAGAGCACCUUGCCAGUGUGCUGUGCUGGGCCGCGGCUCUCCUGUCGAGGGCAGAUGGGAUUCCCUACUCGGGAGGCGCAGCAGUGAGCCACGCAUAAAACGGCCCAAAACAAAACUCGCACGCUUUAAGCUAACUGCGGAGCCCACGGAAGGCGCGUUAACUGCGCGCACUGGCAUAAUUUUGGCGGAGUGAGCUGACGUCGACACAAACCGCACCUUGCUGAGGGAACGGCCGCCUCGGCCGCUCUGGGGACGCGGGGCACCCAGGGCCGGCGCCAUGAGGGGCCGCAGCGCCGCCUGGCGGGCAGACACCGGCCCCGCCCGCCUCUGCCCUAGCAAACGGUCCGGCCCGUUUGCGCAAGAUGUAGGGGAAAUGUAGAAAGCAUGGAGUUUUUGGAGCCGACGUGUGCAGCUGUACGCUGCCACGCCGCUGGCUGCUGCCAGGCCAAUGCAGGAAGAGCGUUUUGAUCGGUGGAAAAAUCAGUUAUUAAUCAGCCCGGGGCAAUCGAUUUUCCAGCUGCCGUGUCCAUUGGAGAUUGGCCACUUCUAGCCCAAAGAAGCAGUGGAAGUAUUCACUAGAUAUUCACCAGCGUCCUUUGGCUCCUUUUGUCCAAGUCCAGACCACGUGCAGCAUUCCACCGGGACAGACGUGCGCUCACCUGAAGAUGUGCCUCUCACCUCCUUCUAUCCAAGAAAGAUGGCCCAGAAGAAGAGUUUACAGUAUGAAGAUAAAUGCUAUCAACAACACUGGAUGAACAAGAGGCCCUAAUGCAGCGGCCAACCCAAGGCCCUGUCACACAUCCAUGCUCAGUGCAGUUGUGUCGGUGCUGGCACCUGGCCCUGAGGGCAGGGAGCCCUGUGCCAGCCAUGAGCUCUGCGCCAGGAUGUUCUCCUCCAGGCACUCUGCUGGCGUCGCUGUGCUCAGGGCUGCCAAAGCUGCCUGCACGAACAAACACAGAGCUCUGGAACUGCCACCUGGCUGUCUCUCGAGCUCUCUUCUUUUAUUUAUCUCGGUAGCAGCAGCAGCCAAGGUUUGGAGCAGGCUGUGGCAUCAGGAGCUGGAGAAUCGCAGGAACAUCACUGGGCUCAGCAACCGGUGCUUCACACAUACAUAAUAAAGGCAAUGCUGAAUCAACCUCAUUCACAGCGGAGCAUGUGCAAGCAUGCACACUUCUUACAGGAGGCACACAAUGGCUCAUUUCCAGGAUGGGAUGCAUCCUACUCAGUGAGUGCAUGGUCUGGUGCCUUGCUGUCAGCCACCUUGAACCCCAGCUGGUGUCCCUUGUGCCACCACCCAGCUUCACCUGAGAGAGAGAGGAGAAGGGGUGCAAGGCUUUGCUGGCUGAUUCUGGGCUUUAUCCCAGCAAAGCAUAGUGGUUGGAGCAGGGAAGAGGAAAAGAAGCUGCUGUUUUUGGAGGGAAAACAUUACAUCCCUGGGACUCCUUGAUCAGCCUUCUGUCCAGCCCCUACUGCUUGCAUAUGCCAGGCAGCACAAGUUCUUUCCCAGAGUUUGGGUCUUUCUACAACAUAAAAGUGUUAUAAGCUACUCAUCUGCAGCUGAAUUGCUUUUCCUGGGCUAGGCGCAUUAAUUACUGCAGCAUGUGCUGCCAAAUUAAGAGUUUGGGGAAAAAAAUCAGUGAGUGCCAAGUAAUCCAUCUUAAAAAGCCACCUGCACUAGGAAAGGAAACAAAGGGUCUAGGGGUACCUGGAAACUUAACUUCACCAAAGGGGCAGCCAAUGGGUAGACUUUAGUCCUCCCUCUCUUCUUUUCCUCCUUCUUUGCUUUGCCUUUUGUCCUUUGCCUUUUCCUUGCUUUCCUUGUGUCCUUUCCUUUCGUUUUCAUUCUUCCCUGCCAAUUAGUGGUCUUAAAGUAACAGCAGCAAUAAAAGUGAGAAGAAGAAUCACAGAAGGUGCCUCUGGGGGUCACCUCACCCAGUCCAACUCAGAUAGGCAGUCCAACUCAGUUAGGGACACCCUGCUCCAGGUGUUGGGUAGGGCAGGACGCUGGUGCCACUGGAUGGCUGCACCAUGUGGUUCCAUCUGCCUGGCUCUAGUAAGCACAGAAGGGUUUUUUAUGCAUUAUCUCCUUCCCAGUUGUUAUAUAUCCUAAGGGCUCUGCUCCCCUUUAGUUGAAUACCGACUGGUCCCUUGAAAUAAAUGCUUACGAGUAAUGAGAUUAUUAAGUCUCAUGGGAAAGCAAGGAGGGGAGAAGAGACACUCUAGGUUACAAAAAGAAAAAAAAAAGCAACAAAAACAAGGAAAGAAUGGAGAUGAUGUAAAGCUAUGCUGUGAAGGAUUGUCUGGCCUUGGGGACUGGUUUAUGCAAGCCAUUUUGAGCUACAGAUCUCAAGCAGGCUAAAAGGGAGCAGCAGUCAGACAACCUAAUCACUCAGAGACCUGCCUGCCAUGUUGGAGAGAACUCCCCAAUUAGAAAGCGCAUGUUUGGAAAAGGAAUGUCUGUGGGAGCAUAUAUUGGAUUGUUAUUACUUGCAAAUAGCUGUUAAAACAUUUCCCACUGCAAUUCCAAUUCAUUCAAAAUUUUCCAUACUCUCUCUUGAAGUAGAUUAAACUGCAUAUACCGUCCGUAAAAAUCAAGCAUUGGAUAGCUUCCAAAGAGUCAUAAAGCUAAGGUUGCAGGAUGAUAACAGUCAUUUGUAAAAGUAAAUAUGAUAAAAUGAACAGCUGCUUGCAUAAGGCAGCACUACAGACUUCCUAAUUACUAGAUCAGUUCAUUUGGGGCUUCAAAAUAAUUUGAGUUCUGCUUGCCUGAGUGCUGUUAAUUGAUCAGAAAGUAAAGCUGAUCAUUGCUUUCUUUUCCCAUGACAUAUAUGUUUUAAUAAAUUAUUGCUUGCAGCUCAUGCGAUGUUACUCAUUAUUGACUUCAGGUACAUUAGCUGUCUGGAUGG